rnacentral:rRNA from 1 species
AGUGAACGCUGGCGGUAGGCCUAACACAUGCAAGUCGAACGGCAGCACAGUAAGAGCUUGCUCUUACGGGUGGCGAGUGGCGGACGGGUGAGGAAUACAUCGGAAUCUACUUUUUCGUGGGGGAUAACGUAGGGAAACUUACGCUAAUACCGCAUACGACCUACGGGUGAAAGCAGGGGAUCUUCGGACCUUGCGCGAUUGAAUGAGCCGAUGUCGGAUUAGCUAGUUGGCGGGGUAAAGGCCCACCAAGGCGACGAUCCGUAGCUGGUCUGAGAGGAUGAUCAGCCACACUGGAACUGAGACACGGUCCAGACUCCUACGGGAGGCAGCGGUGGGGAAGAUUGGACAAUGGGCGCAAGCCUGAUCCAGCCAUACCGCGUGGGUGAAGAAGGCCUGCGGGUUGUAAAGCCCUUUUGUUGGGAAAGAAAAGCAGCAGGUUAAUACCCCGCUGUUCUGACGGUACCCAAAGAAUAAGCACCGGCUAACUUCGU